rnacentral:misc_RNA from 1 species
GAACUGCGAUAAGUAAUGUGAAUUGCAGAAUUCAGUGAAUCAUCGAGUCUUUGAACGCACAUUGCGACCCCUGGCAUUCUGGGGGGCAUGCCUGUCCGAGCGUCAUUGCUGCCCUUCAAGCCCGGCUUGUGUGUUGGGUCGUCGUCCCCUCCGGGGGACGGGCCCGAAAGGCAGCGGCGGCACCGCGUCCGGUCCUCGAGCGUAUGGGGCUUUGUCACCCGCUCGAUAAGGACCGGCCGGGCGCCAGCCGGCGUCUCCAACCUUUUUUUCUCAGGUUGACCUCGGAUCAGGUAGGGAUACCCGCUGAACUUAAGC